CAAACCCUAUUCCCUACAUGUAUAGUCUACCCUAUUCCCUACAUGUGUAUAGUCUACCCUAUUCCCAAUGUGUAUAGUCUACCCUAUUCCCUACAUGUGUAUAGUCUACCCUAUUCCCUACAUGUGUAUAGUCUACCCUGUUCCCAAUGUGUAUAGUCUACCCUAUUCCCAAUGUGUAAAGUCUACCCUAUUCCCUACAUGUAUAGUCUACCCUAUUCCCAAUGUGUAUAGUCUACCCUAUUCCCAAUGUGUAUAGUCUACCCUAUUCCCAGUGUGUAUAGUCUACCCUAUUCCCUACAUGUGUAUAGUCUACCCUAUUCCCUACGUGUAAGUCUAUGACAUUUCAGAUUUAUAUAUGAUAAUUUUUCACAAGGUAGUUACGAUGUAGUGAGCUACUCUUUCAAAUAUACUUUAGUUAAGUUAAGAACUAUAUUUAAGUGAAGGUCUUGUGUAGCUUAUCUUAUUCCAGUGGGAAGUCAUUGGUAGGUUUGGCCAAAUAUAUUUUCAGAGUAGCUUCCUCAACACUGGUGGCUGAGCUGAACCGUGUGUGUCCGCUGAACUGCUGAAGAUCACACACACACACACACACACACACACACACACACACACACACACACACACACACACACACACACACACACACCUGUUUAAAAAAUGGCUUAAGAGGAGAAAAUAUACAUUGUUUGUGCUAAUCAGACUGACUGCCUACUCCAUUGUAUAACACUAAAAAAAUGUUUCACACUGUGUGUGUGUGUGUGUGUGUGUGUGUGUGUGUGUGUGUGUGUUUGACCUCUUGUCUCUUGUAAAACACCCAUUAAUUCAUCUCCUCUCCACACCUCGCCUUAGUCCCAAAUGACACCGUAUCCCCUACAUAGUGCACUAAUUCUGAC
rnacentral:lncRNA from 13 species